AACUUAGAAUGAUUCCUCAUUACACCUUCUGAUUGUCUUUAAUUAACACUAUCCAUUGUUAGAAGUUAUUCCUUAACCUGAGAAGACAUCGCUAUGAGGUGGAGGCCAUUCUCUACUGGAAGGUCAUCGGGCCAUAAUGCAUGAAGACUAUCGAAGCCUGGCUGAAGCUGUGGGAAAAAAAAAAAAAAGAGUUUGAGGGACUACUUGCAUUCUAUUACUUCUGGUAAAGAACCAAAGCCUCUCUUUGAAAGGCCAAUACCUCUCUCUGUAUCAACUGCUCUCAACUAGGGGUGAUUUUGCCCACAUAACUCUCUUCAAGGUAUAUUUUUUAAAAUUGUCAUGGGGGUGGGGUGCUUCUGACAUCUAGUGGAUAGAGGCCAGGGAUGAUGCUAACCAUCCUUUGUUGCACAAGACAGCUUCCACGAA